GAUGAACGCUGGCGGCGUGCUUAACACAUGCAAGUCGAACGGAAAGGCCCUGCUCUUGUGGGGUGCUCGUGUGGCGAACGGGUGAGUAACACGUGAGUAACCUGCCCCGACUUUGGGAUAACUUCUGGAAACUGGGGCUAAUACUGGCUAGGAGCACUUGCUGCAUGGUGGGGGUUGGAAAGUUUCGGCGGUUGGGGAUGGACUUGCGGCUUAUCAGCUUGUUAGUGGAGGAGUGGCUUACCAAGGCUUUGACGGGUAGCCGUCCUGAGAGGGUGGCCGGGCACAUUGGGCCUGAGAUACGGCCUAGACUCGUACGGGAGGCAGCAGUGGAGAAUAUUGCGCAAUGGGCGGAAGCCUGAUGCGGCAGCGCCGCGUGCGGGAUGAUGGCCUACGAGUUAUGAACCGCUUUCGCCUGUAACGAAGCGUGAGUGACGGUAAUGGGUAAGGAAGCACCGGCUAACUACGUG
rnacentral:rRNA from 1 species